AUUGAACGCUGGCGGAAUGCUUUACACAUGCAAGUCGAACGGUAGAGGGGGCAACCCCUCGAGAGUGGCGAACGGGUGAGUAAUAUAUCGGAACGUGCCCAGUCGUGGGGGAUAACGUAGCGAAAGUUACGCUAAUACCGCAUACGAUCUACGGAUGAAAGCGGGGGACCGUAAGGCCUCGCGCGAUUGGAGCGGCCGAUAUCAGAUUAGGUAGUUGGUGGGGUAAAGGCUCACCAAGCCAACGAUCUGUAGCUGGUCUGAGAGGACGACCAGCCACACUGGAACUGAGACACGGUCCAGACUCCUACGGGAGGCAGCAGUGGGGAAUUUUGGACAAUGGACGCAAGUCUGAUCCAGCCAUUCCGCGUGCAGGAUGAAGGCCCUCGGGUUGUAAACUGCUUUUGUACGGAACGAAAAGGUUUCCAUUAAUACUGGGAGCUCAUGACGGUACCGUAAGAAUAAGCACCGGCUAACUACGUG
rnacentral:rRNA from 1 species